rnacentral:rRNA from 1 species
GAACGGGUGAGUAACACGUGGGUGAUCUGCCCUGCACUUUGGGAUAAGCCUGGGAAACUGGGUCUAAUACCGAAUAUGAUCACGGGCUUCAUGGUCUGUGGUGGAAAGCUUUUGCGGUGUGGGAUGGGCCCGCGGCCUAUCAGCUUGUUGGUGGGGUAAUGGCCUACCAAGGCGACGACGGGUAGCCGGCCUGAGAGGGUGACCGGCCACACUGGGACUGAGAUACGGCCCAGACUCCUACGGGAGGCAGCAGUGGGGAAUAUUGCACAAUGGGCGCAAGCCUGAUGCAGCGACGCCGCGUGAGGGAUGACGGCCUUCGGGUUGUAAACCUCUUUCAGCACAGACGAAGCGCAAGUGACGGUAUGUGCAGAAGAAGGACCGGCCAACUACGUGCCAGCAGCCGCGGUAAUACGUAGGGUCCGAGCGUUGUCCGGAAUUACUGGGCGUAAAGAGCUCGUAGGUGGUUUGUCGCGUUGUUCGUGAAAACUCACAGCUUAACUGUGGGCGUGCGGGCGAUACGGGCAGACUGGAGUACUGCAGGGGAGACUGGAAUUCCUGGUGUAGCGGUGGAAUGCGCAGAUAUCAGGAGGAACACCGGUGGCGAAGGCGGGUCUCUGGGCAGUAACUGACGCUGAGGAGCGAAAGCGUGGGGAGCGAACAGGAUUAGAUACCCUGGUAGUCCACGCCGUAAACGGUGGGUACUAGGUGUGGGUUUCCUUCCUUGGGAUCCGUGCCGUAGCUAACGCAUUAAGUACCCCGCCUGGGGAGUACGGCCGCAAGGCUAAAACUCAAAGGAAUUGACGGGGGCCCGCACAAGCGGCGGAGCAUGUGGAUUAAUUCGAUGCAACGCGAAGAACCUUACCUGGGU